GAACUGCUUAUGUUGCAUUAACCACGGGAUUCAGCACACUUUUUCCAUACUUUAACCAAGUAGUCGGGGUGGAUGAAGCAAUCACCUUCUGGCCUAUAGUUGUACAUUUCCCUGUGGAAAUGUACUUGGUGCAGAAAAAUAUUGGACCUCUGACAAAGAAGUCGAUAAUUCUUCGAGUAUAUAGUUUUAUUACAUUGAUCGUGAUACUAUACGCCUUUGUUGGCUCAAUCAAGGGUUUGAUAAAAGCAAAAUUGAGUUGAGAAUUACUUAUUUUUACAUUCUGAUAUGGGUUAAAACCAAAUUGCUCAUGUCAAAGUGAGUUUUUGAGGCCUAUACAGGGAAACUGAAACAUGAAGCAUGGUAGAAUAAGCUGUUGGAAAAUUACACCGAUAUUAUGCAUAUUAUAUUUACAAAAUCAUGACGUUUAUUUGCGUGAAAUCAAAACGCAUUCCAACUUAUUGAAAUUGGAUUUGAUAAGGCAAAAUGAGAAUUUACCGAUUUUGAAGAAUAUGAAUGUGGAACAUUCUCUUUCGAUUCUUGAACGAUUGAACCGAUUUCGAAGAAUAUGAAUCUUUCGAUUCUUGAACGAUUGAACCUUGCAAUAUAAAUAUAUAAAUUAAAUUAAUCAUUUUCUGAAAUCAAAUCAUAAUAAAAAGAAAUCAGAAAAUGAGGAUGAAGAUGCAAGUGAUGAAUUUUUGGCUGAGGUAAGUGUUGGACACUUUGUUCUUAAGAUGAAUUUGUCUCGCAUCGGUGCUAACGAUUUUCCGACAAUUAUCUCCCAAAAUACAACGACCACGUCGAGCCAUAGGAGCAAUCCAAAUGACUUCGACCAGCGAACUCGAACGGAAUUCCUUCUUUACCAUGACCAUGACCAUGACCAUGACCAUGACCAUGACUUUGAUGCAAAUGUUUUAUACAAAACCAAAGUGCAAAUUGGAAUGGAAUGAUAUGAUAUUUAUGACUUUUCUUGAAUGAAUAAAAUUCAAAUACGUGGGGUCUAUAUAUAUAGCAGUUGGAAAUGUAUAUCAAAAGACACAACUAUACCAAGAGACACAUCUCUUGAAAUUCAUAAUUAUUGGACAUUAAUUAUACCCAUACCAAGAGUCAUGAUUUUUCAUACGAAAAGUCACAUUUUUUCCUCCAUAUAUUUUUAGAAUAUUCCACAAUAUUCUAUACGAUUUUUUCAAUAAUUUUCAGUAUUUAAGUAGUUUACAUUUGGCUUAAUUUCUCAUUCACCAAAUAACGAAUUUCACUUAAAUAAUUACUUCAAAUUGGUCACAACCAAUUUUCGAUAAAAAAAAAUUCAAACGUAAGCCUUCAUCGGGAAACAUUUGUUCACGUAAUGUGAUUGGAAUCUGAUCAGGCCCGCCAAUUAUUUCAUAAAGGGGGCCUCAAAAUAGGGGUAUGGGAAAAAUUUAUAGGUCAGACAUUAAGUAUGAGAUAAUUCAAUUCUCAAAUUUAAAGUUUUAAAAUUCAAAACUCAGGUAUUAAGUAACUAAUUAAAAAUAUUUUAUAAUUAAAUAUAUUAAGAUAACAAUUAUACAAUUACUAAUCAUAAGUACAUAUUUAUAGAUCACAAUUUAUUUAUUGAUUACAUAUUAUCAAAUUAAAUGGUCAUGGAUUAUUUUAUAGUCGCAAUAGAAUUUUUUGAUAAGUUACAAUUUAUUUAAUUGGUCAUAAAUAAAAAAAUUUAUAGGCCAAAAUUUAUCCGUUGGUCCCAAAUUUUUAAAUUAGUUUGUCACUUUAUUUUUCAGUCACAAAUUAUCGAAUUUUUAGGUCAUAAGUAAAUAGUGGUCACAAAUUACUAAAUAGUUGAUUACAUACUAAAAAUUUGGUCACAUACCAUCACCACCAACACUAUAACAGUCGCCACCCCCAUGGCCACUUGCGAUCACUACCACCAAUGCAGCCCUACUUGAGACCACUACACCCGUCGUCGCUGCCACCUGACAAUUACAAAAUCACCUACACAUCACAACAAUCGCAAAAAACACCACCACAGCAACCAUCGACCACACAGACCAUUAUAACCAUUUGAGAAAUCAAACUCAGAAAUUAAACAAGAAAAAAAAAGAAGAAGAAGAAGAAGAAGAAAAUAAAAGAUCUGCGCCACCAUGGAUCAACCACUGUUAGAUUAGAAGCAAUGAUAAUGGGCGCUCUGUCGUCACAGCACUCCAGAUCCUAGUAGAAAGGAUAGAUAGAUGGAUAGAAAGGAUAGAGAAGAGAGGAGAAUGAUGUUAUUGGAAUCAUUGAUUCUAGUGAUCUCAAGCGCUUGGGGACAUAACCUUUGUUUUACCAUUUUCUGUUAUUUUCCUAGAGAUACGGGUUUGAAAUUUUACUCCUAUAACAAGAACAAUCAAUGCAUGUGUAGUACGCACUAUUUGAACUAUAUAAUAUGUGCAAGAUACUCUGAGGUCUAAUCCACCGGGAAAAAAGUGAUCAAUUAUGGCAAUAUGUAUCACAACUUCCUUUUGUGGAAGGCUUAAGUGUGCAACUUUUGGGAAUUCAACCCCCAGGAACCUUUUGACGGGAUUUGGUUUUUACGAGCCGUACUGGGUCCUUGACUUUGCUGAUGCCUGUGCCAUUCUUUGUCUUGUCGGAGGAUAUCUGACAGUCGUCUUUUCUCUUAGAACCCAAGUGUGUUUUGAUCAGCUCAAAAGGUUUACUUAUACGAAAAUAAAUAAGUUUUUUAUUGGUAGAAGUUGGAAAUGACUAAAUUACUUAUUUUGAGAAUAAGGUAAAGUUACUAUCAAAAUAAGUUUCUUAAUAAAUUUUGUACGUGGAGUGAUGCUUUAGCCUUUCUUUGGAAUAUGCAUGGUUAGGCAUUCAGUCAACCACUUUUUGCAAUUAUUGAAAGAUGGACUAUCAAGUAGAGAACUGGAUGAGAGGAUAUAGUAAUAUUUAAAUAUGUUUUAAUAUUUUUAAAUCAGUGUUAUGUAAUAUCGAUGUCAUUAUUAAUUAGUUAUGUUAUUUGUGAUUUCUCUUGUCCAAUGCUCGAUGUGUCACACAAGAAUUACUUAUCCUCGUGAAAAGUAGUGUUAUAAAAGAUUUAUCUCAAGUGGAAGUUUGGUUGAUUGAGUGAACGUGAGGUGAGAUCCGGUUCACGAAAAUUAGACGAUUUCAUAAAAGUUUGAAAAGAAGAUUACCAAAAAAUAAAAAUAUAAUAAUAAUAAAAAAUAAUAAUAGAAAAAAAUAAGUGAACACCCAAAUUGCCACAGCUGCAUAUCAUGUCAUAUUUGGAUAAAUUUGAUAUUAAAAAAUAGAACUUUAUAGGAACCCUUAGCCUAUGUUUGGUUUUUCUAAAAUUUAGCUAAUUAUCAGAUAUUUUGAAACACACAUUUAUAAUGAAAUAUUUGAGUCAUAACAAACUUGGUCGUGGUAGGACUUUGACAAUCAAUAGUAUGUCUAACUUUCAUUUAUGAAAUGUUGCCCCCCGGGGUACAUCUCAAUUGGCAAAAGACGGAAUUCUUCAAGGCAGGCAGUUCAGAGGUCGCAGGUUCGAUUUAUGGGACUUUUGGAAGGCAAAGCUUUCUUUUGGAAGGUAGGAUAUUUUUUGGAAGGCAGGAGUUCUUUGGAAGGCAAGACGCAUACACGGAUUUGACUCGAUGUGCACUUUAGCAGUUUAGUUGGAGGGGCUCUUGGACCCUGACUAGUUUGGGGCAGAAUUCACGAUUUAUAAAAGAAAGAGGAGAAUUGACUUUUAUAGAAUAGUUUUUUUAGAGAAAAAUAAAUGGCUACUUCAUUCCUUGUCAUAAAUUGUUUUAAAAAAACAUAUACAAAGGGCUCCACAUAUUUAUAUGAUUUUUCUCCAAAAAAUGGCAAUUAAACAGGAGCUAAAUAAAUAUCAAACGUGCACGUUUUUAUAUCCUCCAUUGGGUCCCACAUAUAUAAUUUUAAUAUAAUUGCCUUUUGUCAGCUUGUCUUGUGGAAGAAAAACAACAUUCAUGGCUUCUAAAUAAAGUUCAAAUACAAUUGUCUUUCCAUACAUAGACAUUUCAAAACCUGGAUUGAUGUCGGAAAUAAACGGAGAUGAUACGCAGACUCCGUUAUUGUACACGAGCUUUUCUUCCGAUGAACGGACGAUCAAUCAUUCCCUUAAAAAAGGUAUUUCCCUUUCGUCAAUAAAUUCCUUUAUUCUCUCAACUUCUUUGUAGAAGGGAGCUCUCAAGAUUGUUGUUUAUUCUGAUUAUGUUUCCAUUUUAUUCCUGUUUCUUUAAUUUCUGAGUACUGAGAGCAUGUUGGUUGAGCUUAUUUCACUUUAUAUAUAUAUAUUUUUUUAAAGAGAGGACCUUUUAACUGACCACACUUUUAAGCACUGCGAAGCAUAAAUAUAAAGUAAUGUUAAAAUUUCCAGCUUUGUUUAGUAAUAUUUUUUCUUUAUUUGCUUGCAUUUGACAUUUGAUGUACAAUAUAGUUGGAAAUUAAGGUUGUAAUGGGUGUCUCAUGUUCGCAUUCAACCCACAAGUGUACUAUAUUGUUAUACAAGUAAUAAGAUUUAUCAGUUAAGAUUAUCGUUCCCAUGAAAAAUAAGGUCUAAUUUGUAGUUUAAUAGUUACUAUUGAAUUCGAAAUGUGGUAACAUCAAAAGAAUUGUGAAUCGUUUGUUACUUAUUCUAAUUCUACUCUAAGAAAGCAACAAAAAGUGAUUAAAUCUAGUGUGAAUAUUUGUAUUGGAUUCAUGUAUCCCUCUAUUUUCAUUUAUUUUAAUUAUCAAUAAUCAUUCUAUUCAAUUCAUGCAUUUUUUAUAAUCGAUAAAACUAAUAUGUUAAAUGUUCUUUUCCAAGAUACAUCAACCUAUGAUCAACAUGAGACGAUCUUAUUCCUAGUUCGAAUUCAUAUGAAGAUUUUCAUUUAGUUUAGAUUAUCAAUAAAAUUGCACGUGUGAGAGAGAUUAUUCUUAAUUCUAAUUAUAAUGUUGAUUUUAUCUUGUUCUAGACUCAUUGUGAGUAUUCCUACAUUACAGUAAGCAAUUAACUGCAUAAUUGGUGAUCAAGCAAUAAAUAAUGCAAUAAGUAUGGAAAAUCAAUCAAACUAUAAUACGAAAUUCCUAAAUUAAAGUCUUGAAUUGAAAUAAAUGAAAAUAUGGUCCAAACAUUGAUAUAAUAAUAUAAUUGGAAAAUCUAGCUAGCCAUCCAUAUUAUUAAACUAUACAAGAAAUAGUGAAAAGACAUCACCUAGAUCAAGAAAUAAUGAAUGAAAUCCAAUUUCUUGGCUUGAAUCUUGACUUUGGAUUAAGGAUCUUCAAUAAAUUUAUAUAAUUUGCCUUUGGUUGAUGAUUGGACCUUGUUUUUCACCUCCAAAAUUGAUGAAAUGUGUAAAGUUUUAGAUCUUCGAAGCUCUCCUCCACAUUUUUGAUGUGUUAUGGUAUUUAUAGGAUGUCAAAAUGUUAUUUCCGAGUAAAAUUUUAUAAAGAAAUUUUUUUUGUCCAGAAAUGCACUACGAGACCACAUAGUGCAAACGUUGCGCCGCAUGGAACAACCAAUAACCGGACCUAAAUUCCUUGAAUGGCUAGUUGCGACCGCAUGGAAAUAACUCUAUACGGCUGCAUAAGAGUUAAAAACCUCCAAUUUGUUCACUUUGGUCUCCAAAUUCUUUCCAAUGCCAUUUUUAGUCAUUUUCUCUUGUAUUCUAUUUCCUUUGCUUCCAAUUGAAUCUAAUUGGUUUCGUGGCAUCUUCUGUCUUCAUUUUGAGACUCGACUCAACUAUGAAAUUAUUGCACUUUAAUCCUUAAACUCUGAAGUUAGCCAUUUUUCACUAUCUUUGUUUUGUUUUCUCCAAUUCUUCAAUAAAAAAUGAGAUUUUCCUAUUAAACACGAAAUAACACAAAUUAGGUAAUAUUUUGCCCAAAUAACAAUAAAAUGCUAUAAUCUAAGGCCCCAAAUAAGUUUAGAAAUUACAGUUAUCAUCUGAUUUUGGAAACAAUUGCAUUUUUAUUUUUAUUUUUUUCACUGUCACUUCCCUUCCCUUUGUUUAACCUUUUAGAUGGAAACACUUCUAUUAAAUAUAGUUUCAAAGGUGCUAUUUAUAUGCAAAUUGGAUUUAUUUUUUCAUCAAAGGCGUGAAAAUGUGCAAGUUAAAUGUUUCUUUCUUGAUUCUUCAACCAUUUUAUCGAUCAGGACCCAGAUUUUAAUGCCGAAGCGAUGUCACCUUUGAGAAAACUAAUCUGUCAUAGUUUGUGAAAAGAAAGAUUAUUUUCAGUCCAGUCAAUUUAGGGAAAAAAAAAAAAAAAAAAAUUCGAAAUCUAAUCAAAUGUCUCUUUAUUGCCUUUUCCAUAAAAUAUAAUUCAUAAAAAGUGUGUUGUAUUUAAGAAUACCUGACUUUUCAACAUAUCCAAAGCCUACCUUAUUUCUGAUGUCACAUUAAAGGCGGGAUGACACCAAUUUUUCCUUUUAACUUAAGGAAACACUGUUCGGGAGCCAGAUGGCUUUGGCCAACUUUCCAUGUUUGGAGUUUUAUCGUUCAAAUAAAUUUUGUCCAAAAAGAUAUUGGGAACAGAGCUUUGUUUUGUUGAAUAUGGUGCAGAAAAGGGAUUCGUUUGAUUUUAGACAUAUUGGGAACGAGGCUUAGUUUGUAGUUUGUAUUAUUUAACGCGUGUGUUCCAACAUCUGAAAUAUCAGGGAAUGUGUGGACGGCUUUGGCACAUAUAAUAACAGCAGUAAUAGGUUCUGGAGUACUUUCAUUAGCAUGGAGCAUGUCACAGCUCGGGUGGAUUGCAGGUCCAUUGACCAUGUUGGCAUUUUCAUCAGUCGCCCUUACUUCUGUAUUUUGUAUCUGGAAUUGCUACAAAUCUCCUGAUCCUGACUACGGUCCUGUGAGAAAUGGCUCUUACUUAGAUGCUGUUCGGGCAAUUCUAGGUGAGAUAACAUUUACUUAAAUGCUGAGCACUAAUAAUUUUUUCUGAAUGAGUUAUAAACUAGUGGCUUAGGAAUUCACAUGGAAAUAUACUCUUGCUUGAAUGCUGUAAGAGAUAACGAACUCAACAGAGGUGACCCAGGGUUCCAUGAAGUUGAGACAAGAUUGUGUUUCGUCCAUCUUGUUUCUUAUUUAACAGUCUAUUGCCACUAAAGUCUAAAAGACAGAAUCUGUUGGAAAGAAAUUUUCAUUUUAGGCUCUUUAAUCAUUGUUGUAGCUCACCAUAUGUAUUCCAUGCCCCCUUAUCCAUAUCUAGCUAUUGACUAUGAGAAAAGUUAUACAAAGUUAUAUACAAAUCACUACCCUCCCUUGGUAUUUCUUUAAUUGAAUUUCGUUUGAUUAGGUCGAAGUUCCUUAAAAACUUCUGCCUAAUUUGUAGGGUAUGGAGUCAUAGUCUCUAUAGAAUUAUGAUAGAAAGGUAUCCAUUAACCCUAGUCCGAGGUGCCAAACCUUCCCGUCGAUGUGAGCUCGUGGGGAAGAUCAGCCUGUGGCCUUGGUGAGUAAAUAUUAUGGUAUAUCUGACCCCCCCUUUUGUCUCAGGAAAAAGGAAUGCUUGGGUGUGUGGCAUUAUCGUACAACUAAAUUUCAUCAAGAUAGGUAUUGUCUAUACAAUUACAUCCUCCAUCAGCAUGAGGUAUGUUGAUGAGCUCCUUCCAUCCUCUUCCGCAACCCCCACCCCCGAAAAAUUAAUAACUAAAUAAAAUUCAAGAACGAGAUUUUAAGCCUACAUAUGUUUCACUUUACUGUUAACUAACAUCUUAUGAUCAAACAGCUAGGUCCAUCAAGCAAUCUAUGCAUGACAAAAUGAUCAAAAAUGACUAUGAGACGACUUGAGUAAUUUACAAAUAUUUCAUUUUAGGUAGUGCAUAGUACUGAUACAGAGUUUCUAUUCUUUAUAUAAACAAAAUGAGUAGAAUCUUUUGUAUUGAAGAGUAAGAUAGUGUGAUGAUGAUAGGCGAAAAUUUAUAUUUCUAGAAGUGAAUUUCUUUGUCUGUCCAAUGACAUGGAAAAUGGGCUGGGACUCUCCUCCAUUCCCCCUCCGACGCCCAAGCAAGUAUCAUCCUCAUGAGAGAGGGGGAGUGUUUCUCAUUGUCCAUAAAGAAUAUGAAAAACACCCAUUUUUCGUACCUGUGACCUUUUAUUUUGCUUAAAAUGUCAUGUCUGUCUUAAUGUGUUUUGCACCAGUGUUGUCAUUAAUUGUGCUUUUGGACAUGCUAACAUAUAUUGCUCUUCGAUGUUAUUCUUUCAAUUGAUGAAGGGCAAUACAGAGAUCAAAUUGUUACCAUAGUGAAGGGCAUAAAGCUUCUUGCAACUACGGGAUUACUUAUUACAUGCUUGCAUUUGGAAUUAUCCAAGCCAUCGUGUCUCAAAUACCUGAUUUUCAGAAUACCGAGUGGCUCUCUGUCAUUGCAGCAAUCAUGUCCUUCUCAUACUCUAUUAUCGGAUCGGCACUUGGCUUGGGAAAAGUUAUAGGUGAGUCCGGAAUAUGAAAAAACACAACUAGAAUUUUUUAUGAAGUGCAAAAUUCUUCAAGUUUUUCUGAUCGCUUAACCUUAUUUUAUAGAAAAUGGAGAAAUAAAAGGUAGCAUUGGAGGAAUACCGACUUCCACUACUGCUGAAAAAGUAUGGGCGAUUUCUCAAGCGCUUGGCGACAUUGCCUUUGCGUUUCCAUUCUCUCUUAUUUUCCUAGAGAUACAGGUCUGGAAAUUUACUUCUGUACCUAGAAUAUCAAUAGAAAUUCUCAAAUAGCAUUAAGCAAUAGUAAUAAAUGGUUUAAUUUCAUAAUACGUCAAGGAUACUCUAAGGCCCGAUCCACUUGAAAGGGUCAUCAUGAAGAAGGCAUCAAUUAUGGCUGUCUGCGUCACAACCUUUUUCUACCUAUGUUGUGGAGGGCUUGGGUAUGCAGCUUUUGGAAAUUCAACCCUCGGGAACCUUUUAACCGGAUUUGGUUUUUACGAGCCAUACUGGCUUGUUGACUUUGCUAAUGCUUGCGUCGUUCUUCAUCUUGUUGGAGGAUAUCAGGUAUUUUGAUUUUUCGAUGAUCUUGUAUGCAAUUAUCACUCAACAAUGUUACCACAUUUUAUCCUUCUUGUUAAAACUAUGAGCAUGUUUGGCUAGGACUAAAGAAAAAAAAAAAGUAGUUUUUGCACAAGUUUUUGUCCCAGAAAGAGGUAACUUGAAAGUUACUUUUAAGCUUGGCCAGACAUGCAUAAUUAGUCUUGAGUAAUACUUUAACCUUUCUUCCAAAUAUGUAUCAAUAGGUAUACACUCAACCACUCUUUGAGAAUACUGAAAGAUGGAUUAUAAAGAAGUUUCCCGACCGAAAAAUAUUGCAUGAAGAUUACACUCCAAAACAAAUACCGCGUCUAAGACUAAAUCUUUUGAGGCUGUGUUUCCGAACUGCUUAUGUUGCAUUAACCACGGGAUUUAGCACACUUUUUCCGUACUUUAACCAAGUAGUCGGGGUAGCUGGAGCAAUCACCUUCUGGCCUAUUGUUGUAUAUUUCCCUGUGGAAAUGUACUUGGUGCAGAAAAAUAUUGGACCUCUGACAAAGAAGUCGAUAAUUCUUCGAGUAUAUAGUUUUAUUACAUUGAUCGUGAUACUAUAUGCCUUUGUUGGCUCAGUCAAGGGUUUGAUAACAGCAAGAUUGAGCUGAGAAUUACUU
rnacentral:lncRNA from 1 species